rnacentral:rRNA from 1 species
UACAGAGGUCCCAAGCGUUGUUCGGAUUCACUGGGCGUAAAGGGUGCGUAGGCGGUGGGGUAAGUUUGAGGUGAAAUCUCCGGGCUCAACCCGGACAAGCCUUGAAUACUAUCCUGCUAGAGGAUCGGAGGGGAGACUGGAAUUCUCGGUGUAGCAGUGAAAUGCGUAGAUAUCGAGAGGAACACCAGUGGCGAAGGCGAGUCUCUGGACGAUACCUGACGCUGAGGCACGAAAGCCAGGGGAGCAAACGGGAUUAGAUACCCCGGUAGUCCUGGCCCUAAACGGUGCGCACUUGCUGUGGGCGGAUUCGACCCCGCCCGUGGCGAAGGAAACCCGAUAAGUGCGCCGCCUGGGGAGUACGGUCGCAAGAUUA